rnacentral:rRNA from 1 species
ACGCUCGACACCUACGGGAGGCAGCAGUGGGGAAUAUUGCACAAUGGGGGAAACCCUGAUGCAGCGACGCCGCGUGAAGGAAGAAGUAUUCGGUAUGUAAACUUCUAUCAGCAGGGAAGAAGAAAGUGACGGUACCUGACUAAGAAGCCCCGGCUAACUACGUGCCACAGCCGCGGUAAUCUGAGGCGGGCUGGCAAGGC